rnacentral:rRNA from 2 species
UGGGGAAUAUUGGACAAUGGGCGCAAGCCUGAUCCAGCCAUGCCGCGUGAGUGAUGAAGGCCUUAGGGUUGUAAAGCUCUUUCACCGGAGAAGAUAAUGACGGUAUCCGGAGAAGAAGCCCCGGCUAACUUCGUG